ACAAAUUCAACACAACAUGUGUCACGGUGCUGUUCCCGGGUGGGGAGCCGGGACGACAAACCUGCCAGAGCAUUAUAUGCAACGCAU
rnacentral:misc_RNA from 1 species